rnacentral:lncRNA from 1 species
AUGGGAAGUCACCAGUCCAUGAGGGAGAGCAGGCCCAGACCCAGGUCUCCAGACUCACAGCCAUCGGUUUCUCAUGCAACCUUUAAUCUCCCCCCUGUGGAUUCUGAUGCCUCCUCCUACCCCCUGGGAACUUGGAGUCAGAGCCAACGGAGAAGGGGAGUGGCCUGGAUCCCUGCAGCUGGUUACCUAGAAAGGAGAACCAUCCUCUUCCCGAAAGAGAACGGAGAAUUGGCCUGGACCCCAAUGGCCCCUCCUCCAGGGCAGAGUCAGUCGGUGCCUACCCACACCUGGUACCUCCCUUACUGGCAACAGAGUCCAGAACUAGUAACAGCCACCUGGGCAGCUGCUGGAGCCACUGGGAGUCACAGGAAGGGAAGGCCCAGGAAGGCCUUGAAUACCUGCCGCCUCACCCCUCCUGGGAUAAGGGUCCCAACACCCCACGGAUGGGCCCAGGCGCCCCCUGCAACUUCUCCACCGCCGCCCACCGGUGCAACGUGGGUGGCCUGCCGGCGGCAGCGAUCAUCAUCCCAACCCUGCUCUCCUCGUCCACUCUCCUGA